GACGAACGCUGGCGGCGUGCUUAACACAUGCAAGUCGAACGCUGAAGCUUGGUGCUUGCACUGGGUGGAUGAGUGGCGAACGGGUGAGUAAUACGUGAGUAACCUGCCCUUGACUCUGGGAUAAGCCUGGGAAACUGGGUCUAAUACUGGAUAUGACAUGUCACCGCAUGGUGGUGUGUGGAAAGGGUUUUACUGGUUUUGGAUGGGCUCACGGCCUAUCAGCUUGUUGGUGGGGUAAUGGCUCACCAAGGCGACGGCGGGUAGCCGGCCUGAGAGGGUGACCGGCCACACUGGGACUGAGACACGGCCCAGACUCCUACGGGAGGCAGCAGUGGGGAAUAUUGCACAAUGGGCGGAGGCCUGAUGCAGCGACGCCGCGUGAGGGAUGACGGCCUUCGGGUUGUAAACCUCUUUCAGCACGGAAGAAGCGAAAGUGACGGUACGUGCAGAGA
rnacentral:rRNA from 1 species